GCUUGCUUCUUUGCUGACGAGUGGCGGACGGGUGAGUAAUGUCUGGGAAACUGCCUGAUGGAGGGGGAUAACUACUGGAAACGGUAGCUAAUACCGCAUAACGUCGCAAGACCAAAGAGGGGGACCUUCGGGCCUCUUGCCAUCGGAUGUGCCCAGAUGGGAUUAGCUUGUUGGUGGGGUAACGGCUCACCUAGGCGACGAUCCCUAGCUGGUCUGAGAGGAUGACCAGCCACACUGGAACUGAGACACGGUCCAGACUCCUACGGGAGGCAGCAGUGGGGAAUAUUGCACAAUGGGCGCAAGCCUGAUGCAGCCAUGCCGCGUGUAUGAAGAAGGCCUUCGGGUUGUAAAGUACUUUCAGCGGGGAGGAAGGGAGUAAAGUUAAUACCUUUGCUCAUUGACGUUACCCGCAGAAGAAGCACCGGCUAACUCCGUGCCAGCAGCCGCGGUAAUACGGAGGGUGCAAGCGUUAAUCGGAAUUACUGGGCGUAAAGCGCACGCAGGCGGUUUGUUAAGUCAGAUGUGAAAUCCCCGGGCUCAACCUGGGAACUGCAUCUGAUACUGGCAAGCUUGAGUCUCGUAGAGGGGGGUAGAAUUCCAGGUGUAGCGGUGAAAUGCGUAGAGAUCUGGAGGAAUACCGGUGGCGAAGGCGGCCCCCUGGACGAAGACUGACGCUCAGGUGCG
rnacentral:rRNA from 1 species